GCGGCCGUCGUCUAGCCUGGACUAGGACGCCGGCCUCCCAAGCCGGCGAUCCCGGGUUCAAAUCCCGGCGGCCGCACCA
rnacentral:tRNA from 3 species